GACGAACGCUGGCGGCGUGCUUAACACAUGCAAGUCGAACGGAAAGGCCCCUUUGGGGGUACUCGAGUGGCGAACGGGUGAGUAACACGUGAGUAACCUGCCCUUGACUUCGGGAUAACUUCAGGAAACUGGGGCUAAUACCGGAUAGGAAUCCUUGCUGCAUGGUGGGGGUUGGAAAGCUUCGGCGGUUUUGGAUGGACUCGCGGCUUAUCAGCUUGUUGGUGGGGUAGUGGCUUACCAAGGCUUUGACGGGUAGCCGGCCUGGGAGGGCGACCGGCCACAUUGGGACUGAGAUACGGCCCAGACUCCUACGGGAGGCAGCAGUGGGGAAUAUUGCACAAUGGGCGGAAGCCUGAUGCAGCAACGCCGCGGGCGGGAUGACGGCCUUCGGGUUGUAAACCGCUUUCAGCAGGGGCGAAGCUUGUGGUGACGGUACCUGCAGAAGAAGCACCGGCUAACUACGUG
rnacentral:rRNA from 1 species